UGUUUGUUUCCUUUUAAAAUUUAUUAAUAACAAGCUGUACAUGUUGAUUAUAUAAAAUGAAGUUAUAUAUUUGUAAAUAAUAAGUUAAGAUAGUAAUGGUUAACUUGGUACCAUGGCUACACUCUGGUCUAUCUUAAUUAAUUUAGUGAUCAGAAAAAAGUUUAUAAGAAAAUGAUGGGGAUUGAGUGCUUCUUAUUCUUAUGUUGUGAUGUUAAACCAGUGUCCUAGGCCUAUGGGACAGUUUAGUGUAACUAAACUUAUGUUAAAGUAUGCUGGUCAUACAAAGACAACAAACAAAACUUCAUUCUUAAUUACUUGUGUGUUGUCUCCCUUGACUUCUUGUGUAUUAUCUCCCUUGUUUGAUUCUAUUAAAUUGAGAUAAACCUACAUUUAAUGUAAAGGUAUGAUUUUUAUGUUAUUUAUUAUAAUUAUUAUGAGGGAAGAUAUUCUGCUGUUAUGAAGAGGAGAAAUAAAUUAUUUAAACACUC